ncrna:Streptomyces sp. CNY228 L31-Actinobacteria ribosomal protein leader
UCGGCCCCGGUUCACGUGUGCGCAAACCGCGUGUGCGACCCGGCGCC